rnacentral:rRNA from 1 species
AUUGAACGCUGGCGGCAGGCUUAACACAUGCAAGUCGAGCGGAGAUGAGGUGCUUGCACCUUAUCUUAGCGGCGGACGGGUGAGUAAUGCUUAGGAAUCUGCCUAUUAGUGGGGGACAACAUUCCGAAAGGAAUGCUAAUACCGCAUACGUCCUACGGGAGAAAGCAGGGGAUCUUCGGACCUUGCGCUAACAGAUGAGCCUAAGUCGGAUUAGCUAGUUGGUGGGGUAAAGGCCUACCAAGGCGACGAUCUGUAGCGGGUCUGCGAGGAUGAUCCGCCACACUGGGACCGAGACACGGCCCAGACACCUACGGGAGGGAGCAGUAGGGAAUAUUGGACAAUGGGGGGAACCCUGAUCCAGCCAUGCCGCGUGUGUGAAGAAGGCCUUAUGGUUGUAAAGCACUUUAAGCGAGGAGGAGGCUACUGAGACUAAUACUCUUGGAUAGUGGACGUUACUCGCAGAAUAAGCACCGGCUAACUCUGUGCCAGCAGCCGCCGCUGUA